rnacentral:rRNA from 1 species
UACGAAGGGGGCUAGCGUUGCUCGGAAUCACUGGGCGUAAAGCGCACGUAGGCGGAUCUUUAAGUCAGGGGUGAAAUCCCAAGGCUCAACCUUGGAACUGCCUUUGAUACUGGGGAUCUCGAGUCCGGAAGAGGUUGGUGGAACUGCGAGUGUAGAGGUGAAAUUCGUAGAUAUUCGCAAGAACACCAGUAGCGAAGGCGGCCAACUGGUCCGGUACUGACGCUGAGGUGCGAAAGCGUGGGAGCAAACAGGG